CCUACGGUAGGCAGCAGUGAGGAAUAUUGGUCAAUGGACGAGAGUCUGAACCAGCCAAGUAGCGUGAAGGAUGACUGCCUUAUGGGUUGUAAACUUCUUUUAUGUGGGAAUAAAAUGUUCCACGCCUGGGAAUUAGUAUCUACUAUAUGCAUAAGGAUCGGCUAACUCCGUGCCAGCAGCCGCGGUAAUACGGAGGGUCCGAGCGUUAUCCGGAUUUAUUGGGUUUAAAGGGAGCGUAGGUGGAUUGUUAAGUCAGUUGUGAAAGUUUGCGGCUCAACCGUAAAAUUGCAGUUGAAACUGGCAGUCUUGAGUACAGUAGAGGUAGGCGGAAUUCGUAGUGUAGCGGUGAAAUGCUUAGAUAUCACGAAGAACUCCAGUUGCGAAGGCGGCUCGCUGGACUUCAACUGACACUGAGGCUCGAAAGUGUGGGUAGCAAACAGGAUUAGAUACCCUUGUAGUC
rnacentral:rRNA from 1 species